rnacentral:sRNA from 1 species
AAAGUUGAGAAAUUGUCAGAAGAAAUCAUGGAGAUAAUGCAAAAUUUAAGUAGUAUACAGGCUUUGGAGGGCAGUAGAGAGCUUGAAAAUCUCAUUGGAAUCUCCUGUGCAUCACAUUUCUUAAAAAGAGAAAUGCAGAAAACCAAAGAACUAAUGACAAAAGUGAAUAAACAAAAACUGUUUGAAAAGAGUACAGGACUUCCUCACAAAGAAUCACGUCAUCUUGACAGCUAUGAAUUCCUUAAAGCCAUUUUAAACUGAGAAACCUGACAGUACUCCUGAUAUCACCGUGGCCAACUUCCCUACCUGCACAACUGCUCCAGCCCUCUGUCACACUUCAGUGAUUAUUCCUCUUGACCUGUAAUUGUUCAGUGGGGAGGACUGUCCCAUACAAAUUCACUCCCAGAGCCUUUAAAAAGUGAAGCCUUUGUGAAACAAUGCUAGAAUAAGAGAGAAAGUAAGGGUGACAGCAACCCAGAGGCCACAGCCAGAGUGCUAAGACCAUCAAAAGAUGGGAAGAGAAAAACAUUUUGGCUAAUGAUAACGGGAUAUUGGGAUACUUUAGUAACAAUGUGGAUGAAUCACUUGGGUAACACAAGGAUGAGGCUUAGUAUGAACAAAGCGCUGUGUAUUAUGACAGUUUGAAACCUAAUAAGGACACAAAAUAUAAGUCAAGUUAUGAUAAAUGAUACAAGUUCAGACUCUUCUAAGUUCUGGCCAAUAACAAGUACAGACAAGGAUUGUGCAUCCAAUGAGGAUCAAAGUAUCAACUUGAUUGGUGGUGGAAUUGAUAACCCCCAACAUGGCAGGCUCUCUAGUAGAAGCUUGGGGUAACUAAGGUAGAUUGCCUUAAAGCAGAAAUGCAACCUCUUCUUUCUCACACUAAGUUUAAAUCUUGAAUUCUGUGCACUUUACUGAACCUAAAAGCUGGAUCUUUUAAAUAGACCC